UACGGAGGGUGCAAGCGUUAUCCGGAUUCACUGGGUUUAAAGGGUGCGUAGGUGGGCAAGUAAGUCUGUGGUGAAAUCUCCGGGCUUAACCCGGAAACUGCCAUUGAUACUAUUUGUCUUGAAUACUGUGGAGGUCAGCGGAAUAUGUCAUGUAGCGGUGAAAUGCUUAGAUAUGACAUAGAACACCAAUUGCGAAGGCAGCUGGCUACACAAAUAUUGACACUGAGGCACGAAAGCGUGGGGAUCAAACAGG
rnacentral:rRNA from 1 species